UAAGAGCUCUAAGCUCCCAGGGUUGGCAGCUCCUCUGGCUGAUUUACCCAUCACUAUCGCGGGCCCCGCCUGGAGGAUAUUCGCACCGGUUGUCGCCGUUCGGUGGUGGGCCGUUAUUUGGGCUAUCGCAUGCGUGUCGCUGCGAUGCCACCUCGAGACUCGCAGGUGUUCACGUGUCGACGACGCGAUGAGGCGGCAUCGCGUGUGGGUCGGUUAGCGGGUUCCUUUGACGGCAGCUUCGUCUUUCUUGAUUGCGGCGGUCGUUCUCUUCGGCUGGCUGUUCUGCUUCUCCUCUUCAUUCAUGGCUUUGUGGCGGCGCGCGCUGUUCUUCGGCAGCGUGGAUUUGUGGCGGCUCGCGCGGUGCUUCGGCGGUGCGCAUGGUGCGCGGUUCUUCGGCGGCGGCGUUGUGGCCGCCGGUCUUCCCCGCCGCGCCUGAUUCUCUAAGCUGUUGUCAGGCAGUCCGAUGACUGGUGGCUUCGAGCGACGCUGUGGGUGGCAUCUGUAGUUUGGUGGGCGGGGAGCAGCCUCAGACCUGCUGUAAUUUGUUUCACAGCAGGCGCACGCCGGUGGGCUUCGAUGUAAGGUACUGUGGCGGUUCUUCAAGUUUUUUUCUUUGAUAACUGGUCGUUUUGCUUGAACUGUACCAUGGGCAUCUUCAUUCUAUCCCAGGGUUCAAGUAUUAUUCCUGUGUUAUGAAGUGCAGUACAUCUUCAUGUGUGCAUCGUGGAUGUCUGAAAUGUAAUUUUGCUCAAAUAUGAUGAUGCGUUUAUGUGUGUAUCACAGCCUGUUGAAGCUGGUUGUUAACUAGCUCGUGUACUGUUCAGCUUUCUAUUGUUUUAUCUUUCUUUGGCUAUGUUUUCACUGGUGAAUUAUGUGGGUAUGAGGCAGUUCAAGUGUUACUGAAUCAACUUACAAAAUUUCCGUUCAAUAUCUAUGAUUUUGAUGCCAUUUCUUGGUGAAUUCUGUAUUUCUGAAGUAUAUUGUGGUGUACUACAAAUAUAUGUCAGCAAAGAUUUUAGAGAAUUUGCUGUGUAUGGCAAAGAGAAAUUGUUAACAAAAUAAACAUAGAAACAUAAAACAGGAGAGGUAUUGACCAUCAGAAGUCAAGCGUUUGCCGGCGUUCAUACUGUAUCAAGCAAAUAGGAAGGCAAGGAUCAGUGCACAUAGGAAAAAAACCGCUAGACUAAAGCCAAUAUAUUUUACCAUGUGAGUGAAUUCACAAUGUAGGCAAGGGUACUGUAGACGUUUCAACAAUCUUCUCUUAAACUAGAGCUGGGGGGCUAAUUUGGUGGCCAAGCAAUUUUCUCGCAGUCUUCUCUUAAACUAGAGCUGGUAGCUAAUUUUGUGGGUACAAUAUAUACCCACUUUGAUUUAUUAUCCUGAAGAUGAACUUGAGCUCAUAGGAUCUGACUAGCUUCUAAACAUAUUGAACUGUAGUGAUCAUAAUGUGAAAACAAAAUAUAUUUUCCUCCUGUAUAGAUCAUAUGACCUUCGUAAUGAUUCAGUUUUGGCCAAAGGAGAUUCUUCAGUUGUAAAUUUUGCUUAGUUUUUUAUUCUUGCGCUAAUUAUCUGACCAUUUCUCUGAACACCUAGUGAUGUUCAAAAUACUGAUGGGAAAUGCAUUACUCCUGAAUACCCAAUGAAAAAUAGAGUUGCACCACUUUUUUGGGUUGUUGUGGUGGAAGUUCCUUGCUGAUAUAGGCUUUUGUAUCUGAAUGUGUGCUACUCUUGCAAGGAUGGAUGUAGUUCGUUUUGGUUUGUGGCGAAGCAGGCACUCUGUAGUUUCUGCAAGUUUUCUAUUAAUUAUAAAGUUUAGAUCACUAAAGAUUUUAACUUUCAAUAGAAACUUAUCAAUCACUGAAUUCUGAAUUCAGUUCUACAUGUCUCGCAUGUGCAUCAUCGGAAUUAUUUGGCAGUUCCUUACAUCACCGCUUCAUUCAUUCAGAAUUAUAAUCUUCAAUUGUAUAUUGAUGGAGUUCAAUAGUAACUUCUCCUAUAUGCCGAUGUAUUUAAACAUUUUUUGAAUUAUUUUAUUCUUUUGCCAUGAGAUUGGUUGGAGGUGGAAUCGGGUGUCACUGGGGUGGUAGUUGCAUCUUGCUGAGUGGCUGGGUGGCCUCGGCAUUGGAGUGGGCGAAGCAUGCCGUUGGCUUUCAAUCCUGUUUUCUAUCAGGCCCGAAGAUGGCUUGACAUGUGGUCCGUGCUACCUCAGUGAUUGAAAAUGUUGUUGCUUACAUGAGAACGUGAGAUACGGAAGGUACACUUGACUGUUACUAAAAAUGAAACAACACCUAGAGGUUUAGAGUCAAUGACAGAUGUUUGUAAGGAUAGGAGUAUGAAGACAAUGGGACCAAGGUCGGUUUCAUGGU